UACGUAGGAUGCAAGCGUUGUCCGGAAUUAUUGGGCGUAAAGAGCGCGCAGGCGGUAUGACAAGUCAGAUGUGAAAGAGGCCGGCUUAACCGGCAAGGGUCAUUUGAAACUGUCAGACUAGAGUGCAGCAGAGGAUAGUGGAAUUCCCGGUGUAGUGGUGAAAUGCGUAGAUAUCGGAAGGAACGCCGGUGGCGAAAGCGACGUGCUGGACCUCUUCUGACGCUGAGGCGCGAAAGCCAGGGGAGCAAACGGG
rnacentral:rRNA from 1 species